UUUUAUCAGAGUGAGUUAAAUUUUAUUAAUUUAUUAAUUAUGUAUUUAUUAGGUGAAAUUUUAAAUUUGUUUUAGUAAUUUUUUUUAUGGUUGAAGCUUGUGAAUUUUAAUGAAAGACUAGGAUUAGAUACCCUAUUAUUUAAAAUUAUUUUUUAUUCUUAGGUAGUAGUAGGUAUGGUCUUGAAACUUAAAAAAUUUGGCGGUAUUUUAGUCUGUCCAGAGGAACCUGUUCUGUAAUCGAUAAUCCACGUUGGACCUUACUUGACAAUGUAUUCAGUUUAUAUACCGUCGUUAUAAGAAUAUUUUAUUAGAAUAAUAAUUUUCUUAAAUUUUUAUAUAAUUUAUAUCAGAUCAAGGUGUAGCUAAUGGUUAAGUAGAAAUGGGUUACAAUAAAUUUAUUUAAACGAAUUAUAAUAUGAAAAAUUAUUUGAAGGUGGAUUUGGCAGUAAGAUCAUUAAUUUUGUUGAUUUGAUUCUAGCUC
rnacentral:rRNA from 1 species